GAUGAACGCUGGCGGCGUGCCUAAUACAUGCAAGUCGAGCGAACGGACGAGAAGCUUGCUUCUCUGAUGUUAGCGGCGGACGGGUGAGUAACACGUGGAUAACCUACCUAUAAGACUGGGAUAACUUCGGGAAACCGUAGCUAAUACCGGAUAAUAUUUUGAACCGCAUGGUUCAAAAGUGAAAGACGGUCUUGCUGUCACUUAUAGAUGGAUCCGCGCUGCAUUAGCUAGUUGGUAAGGUAACGGCUUACCAAGGCAACGAUGCAUAGCCGACGUGAGAGGGUGAUCGGCCACACUGGAACUGAGACACGGUCCAGACUCCUACGGGAGGCAGCAGUAGGGAAUCUUCCGCAAUGGGCGAAAGCCUGACGGAGCAACGCCGCGUGAGUGAUGAAGGUCUUCGGAUCGUAAAACUCUGUUAUUAGGGAAGAACAGAUGUGUAAGUAACUGUGCACAUCUUGACGGUACCUAAUCAGAAAGCCACGGCUAACUACGUG
rnacentral:rRNA from 1 species